rnacentral:rRNA from 1 species
UUGGAGGAAAGUAGGGGAUCGUAAGACCUUGCGCUUAUGGAGCGGCCGAUGCCUGAUUAGCUAGUUGGUGGGGUAAUGGCUCACCAAGGCUACGAUCAGUAGUUGGUCUGAGAGGACGGCCAGCCACACUGGGACUGAGACACGGCCCAGACUCCUACGGGAGGCAGCAGUGGGGAAUUUUGGACAAUGGGCGAAAGCCUGAUCCAGCAAUGCCGCGUGAGUGAAGAAGGCCUUCGGGUUGUAAAGCUCUUUCAGUCGAGAAGAAAAGGUUGUGACUAAUAAUCACAAUUUAUGACGGUAUCGACAGAAGAAGCACCGGCUAACUACGUGCCAGCAGCCGCGGUAAUACGUAGGGUGCAAGCGUUAAUCGGAAUUACUGGGCGUAAAGGGUGCGCAGGCGGCUUUGUAAGUCAGAUGUGA